UUACGGUCAAAUCACGCUGAAAACACCGGUUCUCGUUCGAUCACCGAAGUUAAGCAUCGUAGAGCCAGGUCAGUAAUUAGAUGGGGGACCGCUUGGGAACACCUGGUACUGUAAG